CCUCCUCCGGUCACUACAUCGACCUCGCCAACCGCUGACACAGUUAAACUAAAGGAGGUGAGUGCGGGUAGUAGCGCUGCUGAUCCCGCAACUGCUAUUGAAGACAUCCCUGUCAACGAACCGAGAGACACAGAACUUACCCAU